UAGCUAGUUGGUAGGGUAAAGGCCUACCAAGGCGACGAUCGGUAGCUGGUCUGAGAGGAUGACCAGCCACACUGGAACUGAGACACGGUCCAGACUCCUACGGGAGGCAGCAGUGGGGAAUAUUGGACAAUGGGGGCAACCCUGAUCCAGCAAUGCCGCGUGUGUGAAGAAGGCCUGAGGGUUGUAAAGCACUUUCAGUGGGGAGGAGGGUUUAAUGGUUAAGAGCUGUUAGAUUGGACGUUACCCACAGAAGAAGCACCGGCUAACUCCGUGCCAGCAGCCGCGGUAAUACGGAGGGUGCGAGCGUUAAUCGGAAUUACUGGGCGUAAAGAGUGCGUAGGUGGUUUAUUAAGUUAUCUGUGAAAUCCCUGGGCUCAACCUGGGCAGGUCAGAUAAGACUGGUAGACUCGAGUAUGGGAGAGGGUAGUGGAAUUUCCGGUGUAGCGGUGAAAUGCGUAGAGAUCGGAAGGAACACCAGUGGCGAAGGCGGCUACCUGGCCUAAUACUGACACUGAGGCACGAAAGCGUGGGGAGCAAACAGGAUUAGAUACCCUGGUAGUCCACGCUGUAAACGAUGUCAACUAGCUGUUGGAUAUAUGAAUAUAUUUAGUGGCGA
rnacentral:rRNA from 1 species